CAAUAGCGUAUAUUUAAGUUGUUGCAGUUAAAAAGCUCGUAGUUGGAUUUCGGAUGGGAUUUGCCGGUCCGUCGUUACGAUGUGCACUGGCCAGUCCUAUCUUGUUGUCGGGGACUAGCUCCUUGGAUUCACUUCCUGGGACUAGGAGCUGACGAGGUUACUUUGAGUAAAUUAGAGUGUUCAAAGCAAGCCUACGCUCUGAAUACAUUAGCAUGGAAUAACACGAUAGGACUCUGGCUUAUCUUGUUGGUCUGUGAGACCAGAGUAAUGAUUAAGAGGGACAGUCGGGGACAUUCGUAUUUCAUUGUCAGAGGUGAAAUUCUUGGAUUUAUGAAAGACGAACUUCUGCGAAAGCAUUUGUCAAGGAUGUUUUCAUCAA
rnacentral:rRNA from 1 species